UAAGCAAAAUUAAUUUUAACAUGAAAUACUCCUAUCAGCAAGAACAGCCUAGGAUAGGCUAGCAGUAAGAAGUGAGGGGUUAUGGGAUUGGGGCAUAGCCUCUGUUUCCUCCAAUGCAGCUGGAAAUUUAAACUCUGGGGCUCCUGCUUGAUCCAAUCAGCCCAGCUAGUAUGUGUUGCCAGGUAGGGUGAAUAGACUCAGAAGUACAAGAGCUCAUCCUUGGUCCCCUCUGGAAAUGAGCAGAGAAUACUGUGUCAAGCAGAGGUGAUCAGUCCAUGGUCUGGAGACUUGGAUCUCCCCACAUAGUCCUUAAAGUCAGGGUGAGACAAAAUGCCAAUACAAAUUAUAUUGAUGACAGUAUCAAUGAGGUGACAUUGAGUCCUUUGACCCAACGUGUGUCUGCAGUGUGCCAUCCAUUAGUAAAUGGGCAAAGCCAUUUGAUAGAUCUAUCUGAUACAGUGAAUGAAUCUGACACUGACAUUUUGAAAAACUGAAACUGUAUCCAUUUGUCAAGAACAGUGGCUACUUGUUCUGCUUUAUUCCCCCUGGUAGAACUAGGUAACAUUGCAGGCAGUAAGACGUUCCGGCAUUUCACCCUGGAGUAGCCCCAAAACUGAAGAAGCUGUCUUAUCAGUAGUUAGCUCCUUGUCACCAAGAAUAUUAAAGUAGAUUUGUAUGAUUAGCAAAUUAAAGAGACUGUAGUGCCUACCACUACUGUAUUCACUAAGGCACCCAAGUUAUUCUAAAGAAAUCCUAAUAAUACAUUAGGACCGUUUUGAAUAUUUUUAUUUGAUUAUCCAUAAUCUUCUAGUUAUAACAUCCAUCACCAUUUUGACCACUGAAACUUGGCCUUCUUUUCUUACAGCCUAGCCCUGUGGUCUUGGGCUAAUCACUAACCUGCUUAGAUACAAUUUUCUUCUCUAUGAAAUAAAAACAAUAUUAUAUGCUAUGAAGGACUGCAGGAAGAUGAGCUGUGAUGUUUAUCAAGUGCCUAGAGCACGGAGGAGCAAGUGGUUAGUUCUGACUUGGCAGAUCCAGGCGACUGCAGGACAGAACUGGUAUAUGAGUUGGGCUUUAAAGGUAGAUUUGAAUUUUAAUGGAGAGUAUGG